rnacentral:lncRNA from 1 species
CAGGAAAACCCACCAUUCGCUGUGGGACCUGGGGCAGCUCCGGGGUCCGGAUUCCCGGGUGCGGAGGACACUGGCUUCUCCAGGAUGACCUGAGAACUCGGGAGCCACAGGUGCCACUCGGGGCGGCCUGGGAAAGUCAGCAGUCAGCAGCGCAGUGGCGGGAACCGCAGCCCGGAGGCCCUGGAAGCUCCCAGGCGGUGACAAAGCUGCUCAGGCGUGUCUUCCCCGGCCCUAGGCACGCAGAGGGCUCUGCAGGCAGCAGUCACAGAGGGACCGGUGCGGGUUUGAUUGAAUCAGAAACUGCACCGUGACAGGACGAGACAGCGCAGCGGCUCCUCCAUCUUGUAUUCUUGCUCACUCAGGCCGUUUCCAGGGUUAACAAGAAUCCGAUUUCCUUCAUGGGGAAUCCCAGGGAAAACUACCCAACUCUAUAGGAGGAACCUGCCUUACGUUGUUAAAACUGCCUGUUUGUGGAGAACAUCCUCCAGCUCACCUUUUAUCCUAGCUGCCUGUGUGUGCGGGAACCUCCCUCAGGCAGGCUAACAUCCUCCUGUCUUAGCUCCUGUUAAAAACUGGUUGCUGCAAACUGCUUAUGCCGCAAAACUUACCCUGCAACUCCCAUGCAAAACUGCUGCACCGAGGUCUCCGUGGUGUUCUUUGUCUGCCUGUCUGCUUGUCUGCCUGUCUGUUUUUGAGACAGGGUUUCUUCUCUGUAUUGUUUUGGAGCAUGCCCUGGAACUCACUCUGUAGACUAGCCUGGCCUCCAACUCACAAAGAUCCACCUGCCUCUGCCUCCCGAGUGCUGGGAUUAAAGGCUCUGUUGUUCUUUUGCUGCAGCUGUGGGCAAUGAAACAGGAACCACGAGUCAACAAACCUAGUGGAGUUAAUUGGAGGAGGGAAACAAGGUGGGGGGGGGGGUGUUGGCCAACCAGGAGCAGAGAGAAAAAAAGGGUGGAGGGGAAGGGGCGCUUGCUUAAAUGGGUAAGCUUGCAUACUGAGUCUUUAUGCAGCCUGGUAACGACUGAUGUGGCCAUGCCACUAUGGGUGUCCCUCCCUUUGUCAGGGGUCUGGGUCAGCUUAAUGCCGCGGUUCCACCACUCUGACCUUAAAAAUCCCAAGUUCUGGAUACCUGGAGCCUGGUCUAGGUCCUUGAACACUUGGGUGUGGUCUCAGGUGUCUGG